rnacentral:rRNA from 1 species
UCGGGAAUUUUGGGCAAUGGGGGAAACCCUGACCCAGCAACGCCGCGUGAAGGAUGAAGUAUUUCGGUAUGUAAACUUCGAAAGAAUAGGAAGGAUAAAUGACGGUACUAUUUAUAAGGUCCGGCUAACUACGUGCCAGCAGCCGCGGUAAUACGUAGGGACCAAGCGUUGUUCGGAUUUACUGGGCGUAAAGCGCGCGUAGGUGGUUUGUUAAGUUGGAUGUGAAAUCCCCGGGCUCAACCUGGGAACUGCAUCCAAAACUGGCAAGCUAGAGUAUGGUAGAGGGUGGUGGAAUUUCCUGUGUAGCGGUGAAAUGCGUAGAUAUAGGAAGGAACACCAGUGGCGAAGGCGACCACCUGGACUGAUACUGACACUGAGGUGCGAAAGCGUGGGGAGCAAACAGGAUUAGAUACCCCAGUAGUCCCUGAGCGGGCUGGCAAGGCGCAU